rnacentral:rRNA from 1 species
GUCUACUUGAACUUCGGUUUGGGUGGCGGACGGGUGAGUAACGCGUAAAGAACUUGCCUCACAGUUUGGGACAACAUUUGGAAACGAAUGCUAAUACCGAAUAUUAUGAUCGAAUGGCAUCAUUUGAUUAUGAAAGCUAUAUGCGCUGUGAGAGAGCUUUGCGUCCCAUUAGCUAGUUGGAGAGGUAACGGCUCACCAAGGCGAUGAUGGGUAGCCGGCCUGAGAGGGUGAACGGCCACAAGGGGACUGAGACACGGCCCUUACUCCUACGGGAGGCAGCAGUGGGGAAUAUUGGACAAUGGACCAAAAGUCUGAUCCAGCAAUUCUGUGUGCACGAUGAAGUUUUUCGGAAUGUAAAGUGCUUUCAGUUGGGAAGAAGAAAGUGACGGUGCCAACAGAAGAAGUGACGGCUAAAUACGUGCCAGCAGCCGCGGUAAUACGUAUGUCACAAGCGUUAUCCGGAUUUAUUGGGCGUAAAGCGCGUCUAGGCGGUUAAUUAAGUCUGAUGUGAAAAUGCGGAGCUCAACUCCGUAUUGCGUUGGAAACUGGUUAACUAGAGUACUGGAGAGGUAAGCGGAACUACAAGUGUAGAGGUGAAAUUCGUAGAUAUUUGUAGGAAUGCCGAUGGGGAAGCCAGCUUACUGGACAGAUACAGACGCUAAAGCGCGAAAGCGUGGGUAGCAAACAGGAUUAGAUACCCUGGUAGUCCACGCUGUAAACGAUGAUUACUAGGUGUUGGGGGUCGAACCUCAGCGCCCAAGCUAACGCGAUAAGUAAUCCGCCUGGGGAGUACGUACGCAAGUAUGAAACUCAAAGGAAUUGACGGGGACCCGCACAAGCGGUGGAGCAUGUGGUUUAAUUCGACGCAACGCGAGGAACCUUACCAGCGUUUGACAUCUUA